rnacentral:rRNA from 1 species
AGAUUGAACGCUGGCGGUAUGCUUAACACAUGCAAGUCGAACGGUAGCAUGACUUAGCUUGCUAAGUUGAUGACGAGUGGCGAACGGGUGAGUAACGCGUAGGAAUAUGCCUUAAAGAGGGGGGCAACUUGGGGAAACUCAAGCUAAUACCGCAUAAUAUCUCCGGAUAAAAGCUAGGGACCUUCGGGCCUGGCGCUUUAAGAUUAGCCUGCGUCCGAUUAGCUAGUUGGUAGGGUAAAGCCUACCAAGGCGACGAUCGGUAGCUGGUCUGAGAGGAUGACCAGCCACACUGGAACUGAGACACGGUCCAGACUCCUACGGGAGGCAGCAGUGGGAAUAUUGGACAAUGGGGGCAACCCUGAUCCAGCAAUACCGCGUGUGUGAAGAAGGCCUAGGAGGGUUGUAAAGCACUUUUCGAGUGGGAGGUAGGUUUGCCAGGUUAAGAGCCGAAGGUAAAUGGACGUUACCACAGAAGAAGCACCGGCUAACUCCGUGACCAGCACGCCGACGUAA